rnacentral:rRNA from 1 species
AGAGUUUGAUCCUGGCUCAGGAUGAACGCUGGCGGCGUGCCUAACACAUGCAAGUCGAACGUGAAACCUUCAUUGAUUACUUCGGUAUGAUCUGUUGGUGGAAAGUGGCGAACGGGUGAGUAACACGUAGGUGACCUGCCUCGAAGUGGGGGAUAACCAUUGGAAACGAUGGCUAAUACCGCAUGGCUUUGUUAGAGUGGGAACUUUGACAAAUAAAGCUCUGGCGCUUUGAGAGGGGCCUGCGUCCGAUUAGCUAGUUGGUGGGGUAAUAGCCCACCAAGGCGACGAUCGGUAGCUGGUCUGAGAGGACGAUCAGUCACACGGGAACUGAGACACGGUCCCGACUCCUACGGGGGGCAGCAGUGAGGAAUAUUCGGCAAUGGGGGCAACCCUGACCGAGCAACGCCGCGUGGAGGAUGAAGGCCCUUGGGUCGUAAACUCCUUUUCUGUGGGAAGAGAAAAAGGACGGUACCACAGGAAUAAGUCACGGCUAACUACGUGCCAGCAGCCGCGGUAAUACGUAGGUGGCAAGCGUUAUCCGGAAUUACUGGGCGUAAAGCGUACGCAGGCGGUUGAUUAAGUCUGACGUGAAAGCUCCUGGCUUAACUGGGAGAGGUCGUUGGAAACUAAUUAGCUUGAGGUGAUGAGAGGGGUGCGGAAUUCCCGGUGUAGUGGUGGAAUGCGUAGAUAUCGGGAGGAACACCAGUGGCGAAAGCGGCACCCUGGCAUUUACCUGACGCUCAUGUACGAAAGCGUGGGGAGCGAACGGGAUUAGAUACCCCGGUAGUCCACGCCGUAAACGAUGAACACUAGGUGUAGGUGGCAUCAAACCCAUCUGUGCCGAAGCAAACGCGAUAAGUGUUCCGCCUGGGGAGUACGGCCGCAAGGCUAAAACUCAAAGGAAUUGACGGGGGCCCGCACAAGCAGCGGAGCGUGUGGUUUAAUUCGAUCAUACGCGAAGACCCUUACCUAGCCUUGACAUUGAUUGAAUUCGAUAGAGAUAUUGAAGUGCCCUUUUGGGAACAUGAAAACAGGUGCUGCACGGCUGUCGUCAGCUCGUGUCGUGAGAUGUUGGGUCAAGUCCCGCAACGAGCGCAACCCUCGUGACUAGUUACUAACGGUUUGGCCGAGGACUCUAGUCAGACUGCCUUCGUAAGGAGGAGGAAGGUGAGGACGACGUCAAGUCAUCAUGGCCCUUACGGCUAGGGCGACACACGUGCUACAAUGGUUAGGACAAUGAGAGGCAAUACCGCGAGGUGGAGCAAAUCUAUAAACCUAAUCUCAGUUCGGAUUGUAGUCUGCAACUCGACUACAUGAAGCUGGAAUCACUAGUAAUCGUAGAUCAGCCAUGCUACGGUGAAUACGUUCCCGGGUCUUGUACUCACCGCCCGUCACACCAUGGGAGUUGAUUUCACCCGAAGCGGGGAAGCUAAACUGGCUACCCUCCACGGUGGAAUUAGCGACUGGGGUGAAGUCGUAACAAGGUA